rnacentral:pre_miRNA from 1 species
AGGAGCCGGGUGGGGUGCUGGACCUGCUUCCAUGGGUUGCAGCUCUUGUUGCUAACGGUGCUCGCGUGGGCCACGUCACCCUCCCUUCAACACU